rnacentral:rRNA from 1 species
GAUGUACGCUAGCGGCAGGCUUAAUACAUGCAAGUCGAGGGACAGCACAGGUAGCAAUACUGGGUGGUAACCGGCAAACGGGUGCGGAACACGUACACAACCUUCCUUUAAGUGGGGGAUAGCCCAGAGAAAUUUGGAUUAAUACCCCGUAAUAUAGUUGAAUGGCAUCAUUUGAUUAUUAUAGCUACGGCGCUUAAUGAUGGGUGUGCGGCUGAUCAGAUAGUUGGCGGGGUAACGGCCCACAAAGUCUACGAUCAGUAGCUGAUGUGAGAGCAUGAUCAGCCACACGGGCACUGGGACACGGGCCCGACUCCUACGGGAGGCAGCAGUAAGGAAGAUUGGUAAAUGAACGCAAGUCUGAACCAGCCAUGCCGCGUGAAGGAUUAAGGUCCUCUGGAUUGUAAACUUCUUUUAUUUGGGACGAAAAAGGGCCUUUCUAGGUCAACUGACGGUACCAGAUGAAUAAGCACCGGCUAACUCCGUGCCAGCCGCCGCCGUAAGAC